UACGGGGGGGGGCAAGCGUUGUUCGGAAUUACUGGGCGUAAAGGGCUCGUAGGCGGCCAACUAAGUCGGAUGUGAAAUCCCCAAGCUUAACUUGGGAACUGCAUCCGAUACUGGAUGGCUUGAAUCCGGGAGAGGGAUGCAGAAUUCCAGGUGUAGCGGUGAAAUGCGUAGAUAUCUGGAGGAAUACCGGUGGCGAAGGCGGCAUCCUGGACCGGCAUUGACGCUGAGGAGCGAAAGCGUGGGGAGCAAACAGG
rnacentral:rRNA from 1 species